rnacentral:ncRNA from 2 species
AAUUGAAUAUUACCUUUAGGUUCUCUGUUUUUAGAGAUUAAAAGGGAAUCAGGUGAAAAUCCUGAGCGAUCCGGUCACUGUAAGUGGGGAGCGGCCUUUCAAAUAUACCACUGAAAAUUUUAUUUUUGGGAAGGGGAAAGGUAACGUUGAGCCAUAAGUCAGGAGACCUGCCUAUAUGGGGAUAACGUU